GCGGGCCGGGCGCUGGCGUUGGAUUGAGAUUCAUGGACUAUCUGCCAUGCCCCAAACACCAGGCAGAGUGCUAAGGGGACACAAAGAUGAAUAAGAUGUGACCCCUGCUCUCUAGGAUCCUGUCGCAUAGAUGAAGAGAUAGAACAUAUCCAUAAAAAGAUAACUAAUGACCGACAUUGCGUGCUGCCGACACGUGUUAUGGUCCUGCGGGCUACAGAAAUUCAGAGGAGGAAGACAGAUGACUGCAGUGUGGCAGCUGCUCCUCGGGCACUUACAGGAGCUUGUUAGGAUGAGGACAGAAGACUUCAUAGCACAGAGGGAACUGUGACACCAGCUUUAUAUCACACGAUAGAAAAUACCCAG
rnacentral:lncRNA from 10 species